rnacentral:tRNA from 1 species
AGCGGGGUAGUGGAAUCGAUCAACUCAUCAGGCUCAUGACCUGAAGACUGCAGGUUCGAAUCCUGUCCCCGCCU